AGCUUUGCACAGUGGCAGGAUUGUAGCCAACGAGGUUUAUCUGAGGCACGAUUAUUGCUAAUUGAAAAAUAAGAAAAAGUAAGGCCUGAAGUAGUUUUAGUGUAAGAGAUGGAAAUCC
rnacentral:snRNA from 1 species